GGGCGAGUGGCGGAAUGGCAGACGCGAUGGACUCAAAAUCCAUUGAUCGCAAGGUCAUGAGGGUUCGACUCCCUCCUCGCCCAUCA
rnacentral:tRNA from 2 species